rnacentral:rRNA from 1 species
GUGCCAGCAGCCGCGGUAAUACGAAGGGGGCUAGCGUUGUUCGGAAUUACUGGGCGUAAAGCGCACGUAGGCGGAUCGAUCAGUCAGGGGUGAAAUCCCAGAGCUCAACUCUGGAACUGCCUUUGAUACUGUCGAUCUAGAGUAUGGAAGAGGUGAGUGGAAUUCCGAGUGUAGAGGUGAAAUUCGUAGAUAUUCGGAGGAACACCAGUGGCGAAGGCGGCUCACUGGUCCAUUACUGACGCUGAGGUGCGAAAGCGUGGGGAGCAAACAGGAUUAGAAACCCUUGUAGUCC